AUACGUAGGGUGCGAGCGUUGUCCGGAAUUACUGGGCGUAAAGAGCUCGUAGGUGGUUUGUCGCGUCGUCUGUGAAAUUCCGGGGCUUAACUCCGGGCGUGCAGGCGAUACGGGCAUAACUUACGAACUGUAGGGGAGACUGGAAUUCCUGGUGUAGCGGUGAACUGCGCAGAUAUCAGGAGGAACACCGGUGGCGAAGGCGGGUCUCUGGGCAGUAACUGACGCUGAGGAGCGAAAGCAUGGGUAGCGAACGGGAUUAGAUACCCUGGUAGUCCAUGCCGUAAACGGUGGGCGCUAGGUGUAGGGGUCUUCCACGACUUCUGUGCCGUAGCUAACGCAUUAAGCGCCCCGCCUGGGGGGUACGGCCGCAAGGCUAAAACUUAAAGGAAUUGACGGGG
rnacentral:rRNA from 1 species